rnacentral:rRNA from 1 species
AGCGAACGCUGGCGGCAGGCCUAACACAUGCAAGUCGAACGAACCUUUCGGGGUUAGUGGCGGACGGGUGGGUAACACGUGGGAACGUGCCUUUAGGUUCGGAAUAACUCAGUGAAACUUGUGCUAAUACCGAAUGUGCCCUUCGGGGGAAAGAUUAAUCGCCUUUAGAGCGGCCCGCGUCUGAUUAGCUAGUUGGUUGAGGUAAUGGCUCACCAAGGCGACGAUCAGUAGCUGGUCUGAGAGGAUGAUCAGCCACAUUGGGACUGAGACACGGACCAAAAUCCUACGGGAGGCAGCAGUGGGGAAUCUUGCGCAAUGGGCGAAAGCCUGACGCAGCCAUGCGGCGUGAAUGAUGAAGGUCUUAGGAUUGUAAAAUUCUUUCACCGGGGACGAGAAUGACGGUACCCGGAGAAGAAGCCCCGGCUAACUUCGUG